rnacentral:rRNA from 1 species
UACGUAGGGCGCAAGCGUUAUCCGGAAUUAUUGGGCGUAAAGAGCUCGUAGGCGGUUUGUCGCGUCUGCCGUGAAAGUCCGGGGCUCAACUCCGGAUCUGCGGUGGGUACGGGCAGACUAGAGUGAUGUAGGGGAGACUGGAAUUCCUGGUGUAGCGGUGAAAUGCGCAGAUAUCAGGAGGAACACCGAUGGCGAAGGCAGGUCUCUGGGCAUUAACUGACGCUGAGGAGCGAAAGGCAUGGGGAGCGAACAGGG